GAUGAACGCUGGCGGCGUGCUUAACACAUGCAAGUCGAACGAAGCACUUAUGACAGAUUCUUCGGAUGAUGGAUUAAUUGACUGAGUGGCGGACGGGUGAGUAACGCGUGGGUAACCUGCCUCAUACAGGGGGAUAACAGUUAGAAAUGACUGCUAAUACCGCAUAAGCGCACGGUAUCGCAUGAUACAGUGUGAAAAACUCCGGUGGUAUGAGAUGGACCCGCGUCUGAUUAGCUAGUUGGUGAGGUAACGGCUCACCAAGGCGACGAUCAGUAGCCGGCCUGAGAGGGUGAACGGCCACAUUGGGACUGAGACACGGCCCAAAACUCCUACGGGAGGCAGCAGUGGGAAUAUUGCACAAUGGGGGAAACCCUGAUGCAGCGACGCCGCGUGAGGCGAUGAAGUAUUUUGGUAUGUAAAGCUCUAUCAGCAGGGAGAAAAUGACGGUAACCUGACUAAGAAGCACCGGCUAAAUACGUG
rnacentral:rRNA from 1 species